UACGUAGGGUGCAAGCGUUAUCCGGAAUCACUGGGCUUAAAGCGCGUGUAGGCGGGAGGGCACGUCCGUCGCUGAAAUCCCCCGGCUCAACCGGGGAACGGGCGCGGAUACGACCUUCCUGGAGGGGCGUAGGGGGACCUGGAACUUCCGGUGGAGCGGUGAAAUGCGUUGAGAUCGGAAGGAACGCCCGUGGCGAAAGCGAGGUCCUGGACGCCUACUGACGCUGAGACGCGAAAGCCAGGGGAGCGAACGGG
rnacentral:rRNA from 1 species